CAACUUUCAACAAUGGAUCUCUUGGCUCUCGCAUCGAUGAAGAACGCAGCGAAAUGCGAUAAGUAAUGUGAAUUGCAGAAUUCAGUGAAUCAUCGAAUCUUUGAACGCACCUUGCGCUCCUUGGUAUUCCGAGGAGCAUGCCUGUUUGAGUGUCAUUG
rnacentral:rRNA from 2 species